ACGUAGGUCCCGAGCGUUAUCCGGAUUUAUUGGGCGUAAAGCGAGCGCAGGCGGUUAGAUAAGUCUGAAGUUAAAGGCUGUGGCUUAACCAUAGUACGCUUUGGAAACUGUUUAACUUGAGUGCAGAAGGGGAGAGUGGAAUUCCAUGUGUAGCGGUGAAAUGCGUAGAUAUAUGGAGGAACACCGGUGGCGAAAGCGGCUCUCUGGUCUGUAACUGACGCUGAGGCUCGAAAGCGUGGGGAGCAAACAGGAUUAGAAACCCUGGU
rnacentral:rRNA from 1 species